UACGAAGGGGGCUAGCGUUGCUCGGAAUCGCUGGGGCGUAAAAGGGCGCGUAGGCGGCUGGGGAAGUCCGUGGUGAAAGCUCGUGGCCUCAACUGCGAGUCGGCCAUGGAUACUCCUCGGCUCGAGCACUGGUAGAGGCAGGUGGAAUUCCGGGUGUAGCGGUGGAAUGCGUAGAGAUCCGGAAGAACACGGUGGCGAAGGCGGCCUGCUGGGCAGUAGCUGACGCUGAGGCGCGACAGCGGUGGGGAGCAAACAGG
rnacentral:rRNA from 1 species